GUAGGUGGCAAGCGUUGUCCGGAAUUAUUGGACGUAAAGCGCGCGCAGGCGGUCCUUUAAGUCUGAUGUGAAAGCCCACGGCUCAACCGUGGAGGGUCAUUGGAAACUGGGGGACUUGAGUACAGAAGAGGAAAGCGGAAUUCCAAGUGUAGCGGUGAAAUGCGUAGAGAUUUGGAGGAACACCAGUGGCGAAGGCGGCUUUCUGGUCUGUAACUGACGCUGAGGCGCGAAAGCGUGGGGAGCAAACAGGAUUAGAUACCCUGGUAGUCCACGCCGUAAACGAUGAGUGCUAAGUGUUAGGGGGUUUCCCGCCCCCUUAGUGCUGCAGCUAACGCAUUAAGCACUCCGCCUGGGGAGUACGGCCGCAAGGCUG
rnacentral:rRNA from 1 species